rnacentral:sRNA from 1 species
GGCAGCCCUCGAAUCCCACUCCAGGCGCAGCAGAGCUCAGAGGCCCGCGUCAUCCGCAUCAGCAUCAACAAUGAUCACGGGAACCUGUAUCGAAGCAUCUUGCUGACCAGUCAGGACAAAGCCCCCAGCGUGGUCCAGCGAGCCUUGCGGAAGCACAAUGUGCCCCAGCCCUGGGCCCGUGACUAUCAGCUCUUUCAAGUCCUUCCUGGGGACAGGGGUUCCCAGUGACAGCAGAAUGAGCUUGGCUUGGCAGUAGCUGCAGAGGGACCCAUGGCUGUUCAGGUUCGAGGAGCUCCUGAUUCCUGACAAUGCCAACGUCUUCUAUGCCAUGAGUCCAGUCGCCCCCGGAGACUUCAUGCUGCGGCGGAAAGAGGGGACCCGGAACACUCUGUCUGUCUCCCCAACCUGAGGCAGCUCUGUCCUCUCCACAAGACACAAGUCCCAUGAGCAAGCUUGCGACUCCUCUCCUGGAAAACUGCCAUCCCCCAGUAGAGGCCACUGUGCUGUGUAUCCCAGGACCACCACCCAACUGUAGCCCAUUGGACCCCAUCUCUUUUUCUGACCCUGUUGGUACUAGAUCCAUAUUCCAAAGACAUCAGCCCAUGGUGGUGGAGAGCUCAAUCCCAUAAAUGUAGAAAGGGGUGGGGCCUGGGUAUGUCAAAUCCUUCCCCAGAGAAAUCUUAUAAAUGUUGGAGACGCAUCAGAAGUGACAGAUGCGGAUGAAAAUAGUGACCAGAGUUAU